AGUGUGGCUGCAGGUUUUUCUUCCAACCAACCAACCAAGUCUGGUGUGCUGCUGCUUGGCUGGAAGAAAAACCUGCAGCCACACC